UGAUAUCAAUAAGCGGAGGAAAAGAAACUAACAAGGAUUCCCCUAGUAACUGCGAGUGAAGCGGGAAGAGCUCAAAUUUCAAAUCUGGCGCCCUUGUGGACGUCCGAGUUGUAGUCUGGAGAAGUGUUAUCCGCGUCGGACCGUGUACAAGUCUCCUGGAACGGAGCGUCAUAGAGGGUGAGAAUCCCGUCCAUGACACGGACGCCCGAUGCUAUGUGAGGCACUCUCAAAGAGUCGAGUUGUUUGGGAAUGCAGCUCAAAAUGGGUGGUAAAUUCCAUCUAAAGCUAAAUAUUGGCGAGAGACCGAUAGCGAACAAAUACCGUGAGGGAAAGAUGAAAAGCACUUUGGAAAGAGAGUUAAACAGUACGUGAAAUUGUUGAAAGGGAAACGCUUGAAGUCAGUCGCGUCCCGUGGAACUCAGCCUGGUUUCGACCUGGUGUACUUUCCAUGCGGGACGGGUCAACGUCAAUUUCGGCCGGUGGACAAAGGCGAGGGGAAUGUAGCGUUGCUUCGGCGACGUGUUAUAGCCCCGCGUCGUAUACGCCGGCCGGGAUUGAGGACCGCAGCACGCCCUUGUGGCCGGGGGGGUUCGCGCCCCCCACGUAACGUGCUUAGGAUGUUGGCAUAAGGCU
rnacentral:rRNA from 1 species